UCAGAAGCUACGUCAUGCAUGGAUUCCGACAAACAAGAUUGUAGAAACACAGCUAGUACAGGGAUAUUCAAGAACUUGGAGGCAGUAGCUUAAAAAAAAAGAAUUGUGAGGUUUUGGUCAGGGGGCAAAAUCCAUCAGUAGCCACACCUACUGGUGUGCCAUAAGCUGUGAAGGAAACGGAGAGCAGCUUAGUAUUUGUGAAAUUGUGUUCCAUUUUAAGUUUCCAAGAUGUGAGCAUGGUGAACUUGAUGAUGAC